UGGCUGUUUGGUCACUAGGCAAUGUGGUGUUUAGGUUAUCUCGCAGUGGUACUGCUCCACCCUAAGUCCAGAAAUGAGUACGGCAAUGGACAUGGCCCAUGGAGGGUGAAAGGCCCGUGGGGGUGGAGACUCAGAUUGGACAGUAUCACUCUGAGUAAACCUUGGAGUCGGGUUGUUUGUGAAUGCAGCCCAAAGUGGGUGGUAAACUCCAUCCAAGGCUAAAUACUUACACGAGUCCGAUAGCGAACAAGUACCGUGAGGGAAAGUUGAAAAGUACUUUGAAGAGAGAGUAAACAGUGCGUGAAACCGCUCAGAGGUAAACAGGUGGAGUUGAACUGCAAGCAUUGAGAAUUCAGCUGGUGAAUGUGGUAUGAGCUUGGGCAUAUUGGUUGGCCAUCAAGGUCUGCUUAGCCGCAGGUCUUCACCUUUUGGUGGGGAUUCGCGAUACACUUAUCAAGUGUUGUGAGCCUUGUUGGUUAUCGAGCCUGUUUGCCAGUGCAUUUUCUCAUUGUGGUCACCACGACCGGCGCUGCUGUCUAAUUGAUGACCUUUAACAACAGGUUGUUACAACCAGGAAAAUGUUGGCAGGUUGCUCGUUAGCUUACAUGUGAGUUUCGGCUUGCAUGUGCAUGGUUUUCGAGUUUUAACAGCUGGUCUUAUCGAUUAUGUGCAGUGCGUCGGAGAUAGCGGCUACUGGUGUGUGCAUGCGUGCUUAGUCUUUCAGCGAGUUUGAGUCUGGCUGCUCGUUGCCUGUAUUUGCAGGCCUUGUGGCGGCUCGAGUUCGUCUGUUGGGCGGCUGCGCGUGUGUUACCGAAUCAGGGCCUAUAGUCUGUGGUGUAGUGGUAGACUAUCCACCUGACCCGUCUUGAAACACGGACCAAGGAGAGUAACAUGUGCGCGAGUCAUUGGGCGUUACGAAACCCAAAGGCGCAGUGAAAGUAAAUAUUCGACUUGUUCGGAUUAUGGUGAGAUCCUGUCGUUUCUCAUGCAUGGUACCACCAAGCUGCGAGCGGUAGGCGCAUCACCGGCCCGUCUCAUAACGUAAUUGUGGUUCUUCGAUCGUAUGUC
rnacentral:misc_RNA from 1 species